GAACUAUACUUGAUCAGGUUGAAGUCAGGGGAAACCCUGAUGGAAGACCGAAACAGUUCUGACGUGCAAAUCGAUUGUCAGAAUUGAGUAUAGGGGCGAAAGACAAAUCGC
rnacentral:ncRNA from 1 species